rnacentral:lncRNA from 1 species
UCGGAAUAAGGGCAAUUCAAUUGGAAUUCAAACUUAAGGCUUAACAGCACCUUCAGUAAAGAAAUUGUGAACUGCCCUGACCAAAUCGUCAACAAAAAUAUUCUAACAUUGAUAAUAAAAAAAACCCGGGAAUCAAAAAAUUGAAAGGACAGGGAGUCACAACCCCAACCAAGAAAUCUCACAGGCCCAAAACAGUUGCUUGCAAAAUCCCAGUAUUUCAAAUUCUGCGGAUUUUGAGAAAAAUUUCUUGUGACGAAAGAGCCCUGCUUCUGUACCCAAACCCUUGCAUACAAAUCGGAUCAUCAUCAUAAUCAUCUGUUCAUCUGCAAUUGAUUAAUCGUAAGGCUCAAGCAAUUUCAGUGCUCUUGAUUUUGAGAUAUCAAUCAGAAAUCCAGCUCCGAAAUGGCGUUAACGAACUUUAUACUGACGGUGGUGGGAGUAGGCGCCGUGGUUUUACUGGUGAGGAGCGAUAUCAAACAGUCUGCCUCCAUCUUCAAGCGUAACGUCCGUCAAAUUCGCCAUUGGCUCGACGAAGAGUCCGCUUCCGCCGCUAAGUAUGUCUACUUUUAAGUAUUUUAUUGUUCUUUACUUUUUCUGCUGUUAAAACUCUAUUUUCCCCUAUUUGAUUGCGAUGGAAGUUGGAUUUAGUUCAUGAGCUUGAGCUUCACUUUUUGUCUGCAAAAUUGGUUGUAUUUUGAGGGAAAUUUUUUGAACUAAUUUUGCAAUUGGCGGUAUAGCGAAAUACACCAAUAAUUCCAAUGUUGUCAAAAGCUAGUCUGAGCCCUAAGGUGCACUUAAAUCCUGAAGCUAGGUGCAAACAGUCUGAGCACUUCGCCUCGCUUAGGCGACGCUUUUGUAUUGCAACUUUAGUGUCUUCAUAUCCUCUUUCUGCACUCAAAUGGCUUUGGAAUAGCUGUCUUAUCAUAUGCAAGUAACUCUAUUUAAUUGGUAAUAAAAGUGUAUGUGUCUCGUACAGUUUUUUGCAAGUUUCAAAUAUUCAAAUUUACUGAGAUAGUCUCCCAUAAAAAGUAGGCCGAGUUGUUCCUAUCGAAGCUUAUGAUGAGACCUCUCAUGAAAAUUAGUGGAAAUGUUGUAUUAGUAAGAAUCCAUUACCUAUUUGUAAGUUUUGUAAAUCUGAGCUCAAGCUCCAAGCUUGGCUACGGCUGCCAGAGAAGAGAAGAAGUUCUGAGAGAGAAGCAUACAGAGGAAGCUAGGAAAUUAUCUGUAUUGUAUUAGAAAAUGAAUUAAAACGUAUACAGGUAUCUUUAUAUACAAGUGUCUAACUAAGCUACUUAAUUAACAAUCUAACCACCUGACUAACCACUGCCAGCUGUUAGCUAACUAUGAUUACAAAGAACUGCCAACUAAUUAGAGGUAACUAACUGUAGUUAACUGACUUCAAUACUAUUCAUUCAUGGAACUUGAACAAAUGUCUCAUUAGCUGUCUUGAAGCGGCAACACUAAACAAUAGUAGCUACUCACUUAAUUAUAGAAAUAUUUUCAAUUCCUUUGUCCAUAUAAUUGUAUCUGUAUUUAAAGCUAUGAUUCUUAACUUUUAUAUUAUAUAUAUGAUUUGUGCCUUUCUUCACAAAGCCCAUUCUUCGUUUGCGCUUAAAGUCCAACAAACUGUAACAGUUUUUUUGCCUUUAAUAAUACUGCAUAUCUGUUUACUGAAGGAAGCACUCCAAGUCAUUUGAGUGGGUUUGUGGGUGCAAAGUGCUUAAGGUUUAAAGUCAUUAGUGAAGUACGCUCAUAAGUUGAUUUAUGUUUCUAUUUCCUAGUUCCUGUGGAAGCAAAAUCUGUUGUUUUCUCUUUAUUUCCAUAGAGAGAUAUUUAUAUCUUAUGUUUUCUUUUAAGGCCAAAGAUUUUCUUUUUGUGUAAAUUUCUUAGAUUCUCAAGACAUAAGUGUUAAAUGGUUUUUGUUUUCUCAGAAUAGCAUUUAACUUUGUUCAAGUGUGCAAUUGUCUCACGUAUACGAUCAUGUUUUGCAGUUAUGUUGAACAGGCACUAAAUACACAUGUUCACUUAUUGAUGUCAUGUUCGUGUUUUAGCCUUAAACUUGUAUGACACCACUUGGACAUGAGUCUGGUGUCAUCAGUUUGUGUCCUGAUUUGUUAUCAGUUCUUAUUUCUUUCAAAUCAAGUGUUAUAUUCCUUUGUUUGGCCAUCAAAAUUUUUAUCAUUCUGUGUAACUUUAAUUUAUCAGUAUAAGUUGAAUAUGUAGAUGUUUCCACAUUGGUUGAGGGGAUGAGUUGUUCCUUGAACUUGGUAAGAGUCCAACCCAUUCCUAUUUUUACUUUACCCAUUGUUGGACUCCCAUGCUACAUUAUCCAUGUAGCAAAUGUCCAAUUCUAGAAGGGAAGGGGGAUUAUUAAGUGUCCCAUAUUGUGAGGGCAUAAGCAAUUUUCUUAACAGUAGAAUUGAUUUAUUUUAUGCAUAAUUAGAAAAUUAAACUGCAUUCCCUAUGAAUACUAAAACAUAACCCUACAUCAGAAUAGCAGAAAAAAGUCGGAUUGGCCCCUAGCCUGGGCAAGCACAUUGCAAAUCAUCAAUGUGUUGUCAGGUUAUUGUAUAUCCUUAAACUUCUUAAUGGUAUGUGUCCUCGAUACCUUUGCAAUAAUUGUAUAUGUUAUGACUCAUCAAAUUGAUUAUAUGGUAUUUAUUGUUCUAUGAUGGAUUUUGAUAGCAUGUUGUAGGUUAUAUUCAGAUUAUAUUCUUCUUGUUUCCUUGUUUUAAGUCUUAUAUUUUGACGUUGUAUUAACUUAUUUCCCUUUGUAAAUUGCAUCUUUCCAUUUUGCUUGUUCAGUUAAUUAGUGGCAGUCCUUAUGUCUGUGUGUGUCAGAUGAACAUGACAUAUAUUGUUAUUUCUGUAGGGAAAUGGAGAAGGCAAAGUCAAAGGAAAUACCUAAGGAGGACAAGCAUUAGAUUUGACUCAAGUUGAAAUUCUUAUGUGCAAUUCCCCCCCCCCCCCCCCAAUUCCCGCGCUAGUGUUUCAAAUUUUUGGUCCGUCAAGUGUUCUCUCUAUCGUUUUCUAGCCCCUCAACUAGUGGCACUCUAUGGUUGUUAAGGUUAACACAAUAUAAUGAUUGGUGUAUGUGUCCUGCUACAAAUAGUGUUUUCUUUUGGUAUAUACUGAGAUGUACAGAUUAAGCAACAAGGUAAAGAUAUUUGAACUGGUCGUUGGAUGCGAAACAACUGAUUGUGAUACGUAAGGAUGAGCUAUUUCACAUUCAAUGUUAUUUAGCAGAAAGGAGUUUUCAUAUUACUUGUGUCCUGAGGUAUAACAGAUGCAAAAGAACUAUGUUUAACAAUUAGCAUGUAUUUUCUUGUGUCAUACUUGGUGGUUAGUAGUAGUAUAUGAACUGAAUUUUCUU